GGGCAAGAUUAAAUGCACCAGUAGUGUUGUGUGUAGUGAUUGUAUUUGCUUGACUUUAUUAGUUUGCAGAGGAAUCAUCCAGGAGCCCUUGCCGACCAGAAUAUGCAGAAGUGGAUGUGAGCAGCCUGGAAAUCCUUCUAAGGAGACCUCAACAGUCCUCAGGUUUUUGCCUUCUGCCUAACUGGCUCUGAGUAAGCGUAGCAAGAGAAAAGAAGUCACAGGCCAGAGUCUACUGCCCUCGUGCAAUGGAAAGAGAGCAAGAGCGAUGAGUCUGCAAGCGUUGUUGAUGCGAGGCAGAAGGCGUCCAUCUGGGAGCGGAACUGCCACCACUCUCAAUAAGAUAAGUGUCUUCUUUGGUGAUUGCUCUGCUCAAAGCCCAUCUUGCUCCUGGUAGGGACGCCCCGUAAGCUGGGGCUGGGUUUGUAAGAAAAGGUUCCUGACUAGUUGUGGUUACAAGGGAGACGAUGUCCCCAUUUUCAGGGGCUGCUCAUGUCUCUGGCCAGGACCAGUGUGUCCUCCGCAGCAUAUUAGAUCCAGGGGGAUGACUCCAGCUGUGAGGGCUCUUGGUUGGCUUAUUUGCUGCACUUGUAGAGGAAUUAUCCAGGAGCAGCAGCCGGAGGAGAAAUUGGCAGACGUGGGCCUGAGGAGCCUGGACAUUCUUCUAAGGAGACAUGAACAGUCCUCAGCUUUCUGCCUCGUGCAUAGCUGGCUGUGGGUAAGUGGUCAGUGCUUGGAAUUCCUCAUCUGUACUUGCUGUGAUUUUCUUCACACUUUGUUUGCUUCCUUGUUGGGUGUGGGGCUCUUUGGGAUUAAGGCUGGGGAAGGGACCAGAGUCACAAUUGCUAACUUUCACUGGGGAAAUAAGCACCCCGACUUUGACAAUAAGCCAAAAAUCAAGAUAAACCCAUUUGAAAACAAGGCCAAAACAAGCCAAUCCCUAAGAACCCCAACACUCAAUGACUAGAUCUCCCCUGGCGUGCAGUCUGGGACUGUGGUGGGCCCGCUGUGCACCUCAACUAGCCCUCCCCUUUGCUCCUCCUUGUCCGUGCUUGCUGGAAGCAAAAAGCUACAAGAAGCAAUAAGUUACAAGCCAAAAAGAAGCACAAUUUCUACGUGUUUUCCCCACAGGUUCGGUGUGUCUGACCAGAGUCAUCUGUGCAGAGUGACUAUUUCAGGUGUCGUCACAAGGGGUGCUUUCUACUUGUAGUCAUAAAGGCGUGAUGGGAGGAAGAUUCAGGGCAGAGCCCCACCAUGUGGGAGAGGCGAAAAGAAGCGGCUACCCAACAUUGCCAAUUGAGCUGGUGACUGACUUGUUUUUCCGCUGGUUUUAGUACCAAGAGAAAAGAAGUGACAAGUCAGAGUCUACUGCCCUCAUGCAAUGGAAAGCGAGCGAGAGUGAUGGGACUGCGAGAAUUAUUGAUGCCUUGAAAAAGCCGUCCAACUGGGAAUGGAAUAGUCAUCACUGUCAAUGAGAUAAGUGUCUGUUUUGGUGAUUGCUCUGCUCACGGCCCACCUUGCUCCUGAAAGGGAUGCCCCGUUUGCUGAGGCUGUUUGUAAGAAAAGGUUCCUGACUAGCUGUGGUUUUGAGAGAGAGAAGAUCCCCAUUUUUAGGGGCUGCUCAGUUUUCUGGCCAGGAGCAGUGUGUCCUACGCAGCAGAAAGUUGCAUCUAGGAGAAUGAGUCCAGGUGGUGAAUUGCUUGCCUUUCUCUUGUGUUUCUCUCUCUUCUCUAGUGUGUUGGCCAACACUCUUUCUCAAUCUGUCCUUGCCUUUCCUUGUGCUGUCUCCCUUCUUAGGAUAUUGGCAGCCGAGCUAGGUGUGCACCCCCACAGGUUGUGUCUUGGGAGCCAUAAAGAAGUAGGAGGGGACAAAAAUCAUGCAGGGCAGUCGGUGCGAGACUGGAACAGUGACUGUUGGUGUUGUGGGGCUAAGACAGAUUGAAAGCGAUGCAGGGAAGAGGGCCUUAAUUGGGCUCUAUGUAGUGCAGGAGUUCUCAAACUGGGGUUUAGGUCCCGUCAGGGGGCCGCAAGGUUGUUAUUUGGGGGUUGUGAAAUGUCAUCCUCCAUCCUAAACAUCACUUGGCUUCCAGCAUUUAUAAUGGUGUUGAAUAUACAAAAAGUGUUUUUAAUUUAUAAGAGGAGGGUCACACUCAGAAGCUUUCUAUGUAAAAGGGAUCAUCAGUACAAAAGGUUGAGAACCACUGGUGUAGUGAUAGUUCUUGCUUGCCUUUAUUAGCUUGCAGAGGAAUUGUCCAGGAGUCUCAGCUGGAGAAGAAGCUGGCAGAAGUGGACCUGAACUGCCUGGACAUCCUUCUAAGGAGACAUGAACAGUCCUCAGCUUUCUGCAUUCUGGAUAACUGGCUAUGAGUAAGAACAGUCACACAUCAGAGUCUACUGCCCUCAUGCGAUGGAAAGUGAGUGAGAGCAGAGAGCCUGUGAGCAUUGUUCAUGCCAGGCAACAGCCGUCAAUGUGGGGGUCGAGCAGACGCCACUGUCACUGAGAUAAGUGUCUGUUUUGCUGAGGGUUCUGCUCAUGGCCCAUAUCAGUUUCUUGCCUUUCUCUGUGUUUCUCUCUCUCUCUCUUACUCUCUUCUCUAGUGUGUUGGCCAACACUCUCUGUCUCUGUCCUUGCCUCUCCUUGUGCUGUCUGCCUUCAUAGGACACGGGCAGGAGUGCUAGGUGUGCAU